rnacentral:rRNA from 1 species
UCCUACGGGACGCAGCAGUGGGGAAUAUUGCGCAAUGGGGGCAACCCUGACGCAGCAACGCCGCGUGCAGGAAGAAGGUCUUCGGAUUGUAAACUGUUGUCGCAGGGGAAGAAGACAGUGACGGUACCCUGUGAGAAAGCCACGGCUAACUACGUGCCAGCAGCCGCGGUAAUACGUAGGUGGCGAGCGUUGUCCGGAUUUACUGGGCGUAAAGGGAGCGUAGGCGGACUUUUAAGUGAGAUGUGAAAUACUCGGGCUCAACUUGAGUGCUGCAUUUCAAACUGGAAGUCUAGAGUGCAGGAGAG